rnacentral:lncRNA from 1 species
GGGAUUGGGAUUGGGAUUGGGGUCGGGCAUUGUUACCCAUGGCCCAGGGCGCUUCCUUGCGCUGCGCCAGGCGGCACGGGUCGCGGUAACGCCGGAACAGCUUGUGCCGCUGGUUGGCACCGUCACCUGCACCGACACCACGUCACCAACACCCACACCGACACACUCUGCCCGUGUCCCCAUGUCCCCGUGUCCCCUUGUCCCUCUGUCCCUGUGUCCCCCUGUCCCCUUGUCCCCAUGUCCCAAUGUCCCCAUGUCCCUAUGUCCCCAUGUCUCACAAGUGUCCCCCUGUCCCUGUGUCCCCAUGUCCCCGUGUCCCCAUGUCCCUGUGUCCCUAUGUCCACAUGUCCCCCUGUCCCUGUGUCCCCAUGUCCCUGUGUCCCCACAUCCCAUUGUCCCCAUGUCCCCAUGUCCCCGUGUCCCCCCGUCCCCUUGUCCCUGUGUCCCCGUCCCCAUGUCCCCACGUCCCCAUGUCCCUGUGUCCCACAAGUGUCCCCUUGUCCCCAUGUCCCCAUGUCAGUGGAUGCCCAUGUCCCCAUGUCCCCAUGUCAGUGCAUCCCCACGUCCCAGUGUCUCCAUGCCCCCAUGUCCCCAUGUCCCACAAGUGUCCCCAUGUCCCCAUGUCCCUGUGUCCCCAUGUCCACAUGUCCCCGUGUCCCUGUGUCCCCAUGUCCCUGUGUCCUCAUGUCCCUGUGUCCACAUGUCCCCAUGUCCCCAUGUCCCUGUGUCCCCAUGUCCCCAUGUCCCUGUGUCCUCAUGUCCCUGUGUGUCCCCACAUCCCAUUGUCCCCAUGUCCCCAUGUCCCCAUGUCCCCAUGUCCCUAUGUCCCCAUGUCCCUGUGUCCCCCUGUCCCCAUGUCCCCAUAUCUCACAAGUGUCCCCAUGUCCCCAUGCUCCCAUGUCCCCAUGUCCCUGUGUCCCCAUGCCCCCACAUCCCCAUGUCCCCAUGUCCCCAUGUCAGUGCAUCCCUGUGACCCCCUGUCCCCAUGUCCACCUGUCCCCAUGUCCCCACAUCCCUGUGGCCCCGUGUCCCCAUGUCCCCAUGUCCCCAUGUCCCCAUGUCAGUGCAUCCCUGUGUCCCCCUGUCCCCAUGUCCACCUGUCCCCAUGUCCCCACAUCCCUGUGGCCCCGUGUCCCCAUGUCCCCAUGUCCCCGUGUCCCCAUGUCCCCAUAUCCCACAAGUGUCCCCAUGUCCCCAUGUCCCUGUGUCUCAAUGCCCCCAUGUCCUCAUGUCCCUGUGUCCCCGUGUCCCCAUGCCCCCAUGUCCCCACAUCCCCAAGUCCCCAUGUCCCCAUGUCCCCAUGUCCUCAUGUCCCCAUGUCCCCAUGUCCCCAUAUCCCACAAGUGUCCCCAUGUCCCCAUGUCCC